UGGGGAAUAUUGCACAAUGGGCGCAAGCCUGAUGCAGCCAUGCCGCGUGUAUGAAGAAGGCCUUCGGGUUGUAAAGUACUUUCAGCGGGGAGGAAGGCGUUGUGGUUAAUAACCGCAGCGAUUGACGUUACUCGCAGAAGAAGCACCGGCGAACUCCGUGCCAGCAGCCGCGGUAAUACGGAGGGUGCAAGCGUUAAUCGGAAUUACUGGGCGUAAAGCGCACGCAGGCGGUCUGUCAAGUCGGAUGUGAAAUCCCCGGGCUCAACCUGGGAACUGCAUCCGAAACUGGCAGGCUAGAGUCUUGUAGAGGGGGGUAGAAUUCCAGGUGUAGCGGUGAAAUGCGUAGAGAUCUGGAGGAAUACCGGUGGCGAAGGCGGCCCCCUGGACAAAGACUGACGCUCAGGUGCGAAAGCGUGGGGAGCAAACA
rnacentral:rRNA from 1 species